UACGUAGGGUGCGAGCGUUGCCCGGAUUUAUUGGGCGUAAAGGGCGCGUAGGCGGCUCUGCACGUCCGUUGUGAAAUCGCCCGGCUCAACUGGGCGGGGUCAGCGGAUACGGCGGAGCUUGAGCAAGCUAGGGGGCAAUGGAAUUCCCGGUGUAGUGGUGGAAUGCGCAGAUAUCGGGAAGAACACCCGUGGCGAAGGCGGCACUCUGGGACGGUACUGACGCUGAGACGCGAAAGCGUGGGGAGCGAACAGG
rnacentral:rRNA from 1 species